AUCCUCUGAGAUGUUCUCCAACUCUAAAAAUUUUAAAUUGUCUUUUUGGAUUAGACUUGCUGUGUUUAAUUCAGAUUGCCUAACUUUAAAGUGUUUCUGAAAAUGAACAAUGUGACUUUACAAGUUUUGGGGUCUUUCCAAUAUAGCUAAUGAUUUAUUUUAUCCCCAGAAUCCUUCACCCUUAAAGGGAUUAUGGGGUGAGCCCAGUGACUUGAUGUUGCCUGCACCUUUUUAUCUUACAAUAUGAGCUCCAAGACACUAACUGAUCUACUGUGAAAUACAAAAUGUCUUAUACUAGCCUUAUCAAAUAAAUGAACAUGGGUCUCGGCUCACUUCAUUAAAACUGGGUGAUAAUUCUUGAGCUGUGAAUGUUAGGUAGGGUCUACUGUAAUAUCUAACCAUAAAUGUUGUAAAUUUGUUUAAUAGAUGAAAUUACAUUUUUUUCCUACUCUGUACAGCUUUGUCUUUUUUAAAUAUGAAGUACUUAAAUGCAUUUACUAUGAUAGGAAAUAUGUGUGCCUUCUAGGUUUUGUGAAAUGGUCUCAUGUCGUCUAAGGAAUUUGUCUUAUAAAUUAUACAGUGUUCUCUAUCCUAACUCAGUAACAAAACGUUUACUCAAAAUGCUGUAGAACUUUAGUUUGAGAAAAUAAGUUUGACUAGUGCAUUUAGAGGUUGAUGGUAGUAGUAUCUGUUUUAUUCUUAGGAGAAAAUGAUAAAUUGUGCAAUAAAUAAUCUUUAGCAAGAAGUUUUUGCUAACUUCAAAUAUUUUUUUCUUAUCAUGUAAUUUCACUUCCUUGUAUACUAAAUAUUUAUAUUCCUUAGAGGACUAUUUUAUAUUGUGCUCUGGGAGGGGUGUGAUGUUUAUGUGCUAUGUCUUGAGAUUAAUUUCAAAUUGGGCUUGAUUUCCUUAUAUCUAAUAUAUAUCUAGAUAAUGACUCCUUGGAAAUAUCUUUUGGUUCAGUGAUUUUAACAUUAGGAAGUUGAUUCAUUAAAAGGCAGUCUGGAGAAUUUGCAUUUUUAACUGUUGUGUCUUUUUUUCAAUUAUUUAUUUUUUUGAGACAGGGUCUCUUAUGUAGUUUAGGCUGGCCUUGAACUCACUGUGUAACCCAAGCUGGCUUUGAACUCGAAGAUCCUCCUGCCUCAGCCUCCCAAGUGCUGGGAUUACCAGCAUGUGCCACCAUGCCCAGCUUGUAUCUUUAUUUUCUUAACUGAACCUUAUUGUCUACCAAAAAUAAGAUAACUACUUGGAAACUGGGGAGAUCAGCUGAUUACCCACAUUUAUGAUGGACAACAUAAUGACA
rnacentral:lncRNA from 1 species